rnacentral:rRNA from 1 species
UACGUAGGGUGCAAGCGUUGUCCGGAAUUAUUGGGCGUAAAGAGCUCGUAGGCGGUCUGUCGCGUCUGCUGUGAAAACUCAGGGCUUAACCCUGAGCUUGCAGUGGGUACGGGCAGACUAGAGUGCGGUAGGGGAGACUGGAAUUCCUGGUGUAGCGGUGAAAUGCGUAGAUAUCGAGAGGAACACCUGCGGCGAAGGCGGGUUGCUGGGCUGACACUGACGCUGAGGCGCGAAAGCCAGGGGAGCGAACGGG